rnacentral:rRNA from 1 species
UACGAAGGGGGCUAGCGUUGCUCGGAAUCACUGGGCGUAAAGGGCGCGUAGGCGGCCAUUCAAGUCGGGGGUGAAAGCCUGUGGCUCAACCACAGAAUUGCCUUCGAUACUGUUUGGCUUGAGUUUGGUAGAGGUUGGUGGAACUGCGAGUGUAGAGGUGAAAUUCGUAGAUAUUCGCAAGAACACCAGUGGCGAAGGCGGCCAACUGGACCAACACUGACGCUGAGGCGCGAAAAGCGUGGGGAGCAAACAGG